UACGGAGGGUGCAAGCGUUAUUCGGAAUUACUGGGCGUAAAGCGCGUGCAGGCGGGUAUGCAAGUCUGAUGUGAAAGCCCCGGGCUCAACCUGGGAAGUGCAUUGGAAACUGCAUAUCUUGAGUACUGGAGAGGAAGGGGGAAUUCCCGGUGUAGAGGUGAAAUUCGUAGAGAUCGGGAGGAAUACCAGUGGCGAAGGCGCCCUUCUGGACGGUAACUGACGCUGAGACGCGAAAGCGUGGGGAGCAAACAGG
rnacentral:rRNA from 1 species